GGGGACGUAGCUCAGUGGCAGAGCACAUGUUUGCUUACAGAUGGCACCAGGUUCAAUCUCUGGCAUUUCCA